UCCCUACACUUUCGUGGAUAAGUCUGCUAUAGUCAUUUUGCUAGCUUGCUAGCUAUGUCGAUAAACGGACUUCGCAAUAAACCUAUCGGACCCGGGGGCGGUACCCGGCGCCUCCACCAUUUUCUCAGGAUGGCUUUAUUUUUCUGAUUAUUAUGGGGGCGAAACAGGAUCGACGUGCGUAGUAAAGGUAUAGUUUUUGCUCGGUGGGGCUCCGCCGUUACCGGACCAAAACCUAUAGUUGCUAAUGACAACUAUGCUGAGGCACGUCUCGCUGCUUAAUGCAGUCGGAUGUACCACUUCGAAGUCCUAGCGGUUAGCACCGUUUAGGCGGGGUUCGGGCGGCACCUGGCAACAGAAGCCGCCCACU
rnacentral:tmRNA from 1 species